AAGUCGUAACAAGGUUUCCGUAGGUGAACCUGCGGAAGGAAAACCCCCCUUUGAACCUUCAGUCGUACUCGCUACGUCCGUUAGAAAAAGCAGCAAUCCCUGGUAAAUCAUCGCCGAACAGUUUUCGAUUCAGGGACGUCUGCAAGGAGCGUGCAUGUUGUGCGUGUAAGUGGCCUGGCAUCCCCAAGCAGUUAGUGUCUGAAAGUGUCACUAACGUUAGUGUCUGAAAGUGUCACUAACAUGUGUAAGGAUGACGCAGUCACGAUCGUUGGAGGCCCACACGGCCGACGACCGGGUCACUGGGUGCAAGCCCCCUUAUCACACCCCUGCUCUAUCUAUGGUGAUCCUGCGGGAAGUCCUGCGGUCGAACGCCGAAACCGAACAACUGUUAACAAUGGAUAUCUUGGUUCUC
rnacentral:misc_RNA from 1 species